GUCCACACCCUAAACGAUGAGUGUUAGAUAUUAGAUGUAUUUUUAGUAUUGUAGCUAACGCGUUAAACACUCCGCCUGAGGAGUACGGUCGCAAGAUUAAAACUCAAAGGAAUUGACGGGGACCCGCACAAGCAGUGGAGCGUGCGGUUUAAUUUGAAGGUACACGAGGAACCUUACCAACCCUGGAAACUUUAUCAUUACAGCAAUGUAGCCAAUUACCAAGAGAGGGGUGGAUUGUUUCGUAGCAAUACGAGUGGUAAAUUAGGUGUUGCAUGGCCGUCGU
rnacentral:rRNA from 1 species